rnacentral:rRNA from 1 species
UACGAACUGUGCGAACGUUAUUCGGAAUCACUGGGCUUAAAGGGUGCGUAGGCGGCUGCCUAAGUCAGGUGUGAAAUCUCUCGGCUCAACCGGGAAACUGCGCUUGAUACUGGGCGGCUCGAGUGAGGUAGGGGUGUGUGGAACUUCCGGUGGAGCGGUGAAAUGUGUAGAUAUCGGAAGGAACGCCAGCAGCGAAAGCGGCUCGCUGGGCCAUUCCUGACGCUGAGACGCGAAAGCUAGGGGAGCGAACAGG